GAGUCUCACUAAAUUGCCGAGGUUAGCUCAAGCACCUCAUCUUCCUGCUUCAGCUGGGAUUAUAAACCAGUGUCACCACCCAGUUUGAAAUUUAAAAAAACAACCAACAAGCAGGCUUAGUUACAAAGGCCUUCAAGCAUGGCCUCUAGUCAUCUCUUUGGAAAAACAGCUGGAGACCUGUAAUCUUUAGAACUAAACUAAAUUCAGUUUCAUGUCUUAUGCUAGCAUGAACUGAAAUCCUUAUCUUACUGAUUUAUUUGGAAGAUGGCUGUCUUCCAAACCCACAGGGUCCUGUCAGACCAGAUCAGCACACUGCAACUCUACACUCUUAGCAUCCCUCAAGUCACCUUUGGCUCUCACAUUAUCUGAGCAACAGUCACUGGCAACCCUGCACCAGAUCCCAAAAGGGGGGAAAAAAAAAGAUUAGUAAGAGCAAGUCUGCUACCCUGAGCUUCAGAGUUAAUGGGAAAGCCAGGUCUGUCAGUUAGUGGUUUAAAUGUUCCAAGUGAGUGACAUGACAGAGGCACUGAGUAUUCUUUGAACUUUAAGGCCACUUCUGAAAGAGCUGAGGCCCAAAAUGAAUCAGCAGGCAGGCACAGGAGGAAUGUGGUAGUUACUUGAAAUGAAAUGUUAGUAUGAGGAUGGUGGAAAUAUAUUACAUAUAUUUAAUACUGUUGUGUGUACUUUUAUGAAUUUUAUGAGUCAACAAGCAUAGAAAAGGAAUAGUGGCAGAGAUUGUGGUGUACAGAGGCCUGGCCACUUGGGAAAGGACAGUGGCCAUCUCCAUCACAAAGGCAUUGAGGUCCAGCACAACAGGUUUCACCACCUGUAACAGUCAAGCAAGUGCCAAGGCUGCCCCAGCAGGGUCUCACAUAAAUGAGACCAAGAGUUCAAUAGGCCUUUCAAUGAAAUCAGGGCCACAACAAUGGUGUAGUGUGGCCUUCUGGAAGCUCCAAGCAGCAGUUAUCACUAUGAUACUACGGGGGAGGAGAGUACAAGCCAGCUGAAGACACUUGGGGACAAAUUCACAAUGUGAGGAUGACUACUCUUCAGCUCAGAAAGUCAGGGUCCCUCACGUGGAUAUCGAUUCAACCACCACUUUGUGGGCAGCAGUGCGGGCAGCUCAGACGCACGGCCGUACAGAGUCGAAGGUCCGGCAGUCAGUACACCUGGGACAAACCGUUGGUCCCAGCCAGGAACAUUGGCGGAAGCUGCCCUAACUCGGCCACGCUUAAAGAUCGAUGAAGUGGAAGCUACAGAGGACCCUGAGACUCCGGAAGGCUCCGCCACACCCGCCCUGUAGCGCUCCCGAGGCGGGGCCCCGCCGAUGCCUGGGCGCACUCGCAUUCCAAGAGGACCUGGUAAUCCCCGCUCCAGCACCUUUAGGAGGUCUCCCAGCCCCUGCCCGCCACGUGGCUGUGGCCCCGCG